rnacentral:rRNA from 1 species
UACGGGGGGGCAAGCGUUGUUCGGAAUUACUGGGCGUAAAGGGCGCGUAGGCGGCCCGCUAAGUCGAACGUGAAAUCCCCGAGCUCAACUCGGGAACUGCGUCCGAUACUGGUGGGCUUGAAUCCGGGAGAGGGAUGCGGAAUUCCAGGUGUAGCGGUGAAAUGCGUAGAUAUCUGGAGGAACACCGGUGGCGAAGGCGGCAUCCUGGACCGGCAUUGACGCUGAGGCGCGAAAGCUAGGGGAGCAAACGGGG